GAAAAUUGUAUGCACUUGUGUGACGACUAAGAAACCACUGAAAAGCAGAACCUCAAAAGAGCCCCGCUUAGAACAGGGGGCUCCGGAACAAACAAGAUUUUACUUGCUCAUGCUCGAAGCACUAGAUACACUAACAACACUUCAGAUAGACUCUGAAGAGCAACUGAAAGAACUCAGAGACAAGGGUCAACGCUGUUUACAGACCAAAGCUUAUACUCAGUUGCUGUUAGUUUGGUGACGUCAUCCAGUAUCAAUUUGCUGGUCAUGAGCCCAACUCAAUUGCACUGCGUUCAAAAAAGUCCUGCUCUCAUGAACGAUAUUCAAAUUCUCCCGGUGGAAUGACUGUUUUUUUAAAGCACCUUAUUCAUUCAAAUAAUGUAUUCCCCGGCCAACCAACCACACUUAUUCAUACCUCGCUUCAGAAUUAGGAUUGAGGAUCUUUUUUAUUCCUGGGAGCAUUUCCAACUUGAAUAUCUUUUCCCAAAAACUUACUAAGAGACACUCAAGCGCAGGCACAUACUGUGUGCAAUAAAGAACACUUUGAAACUACUGGGAAUCCAAACACUAGUGCUGAAUUACUACAGAAAACCAUCAUUCUUUUUCAGAGUUCAUACUAUGAUUUAUCCGCAAAUCUAUUUCCAAUGCCGAUGAGAGAUCCUGGCGCCAGAGGUUAAAACUGAUAACGCGAUGAAUUUGAACUGUGGCGUGAAAAAACUGACUGAGUUAAGAUACCACUACUCUAUCAUUAAUAUAUUAUUUUUUAUUGCUGAGAGAAAGGACAAAAACUGCUGAUGCCUUCACCUGCCAAGAGGAACCGUUUGGUCGUGAACAUAUGGCACCCCAGCGAUUGACUUCUUGAUUCAAUUACAACUUCAAUUAAAUAAAUUAGUUCUGAUUA